rnacentral:rRNA from 1 species
GAUGAACGCUGGCGGCGUGCCUAAUACAUGCAAGUCGAGCGAACAGACGAGGAGCUUGCUCCUCUGACGUUAGCGGCGGACGGGUGAGUAACACGUGGAUAACCUACCUAUAAGACUGGGAUAACUUCGGGAAACCGGAGCUAAUACCGGAUAAUAUUUUGAACCGCAUGGUUCAAUAGUGAAAGACGGUUUUGCUGUCACUUAUAGAUGGAUCCGCGCCGCAUUAGCUAGUUGGUAAGGGAACGGCUUACCAAGGCGACGAUGCGUAGCCGACCUGAGAGGGGGGUCGGCCACACUGGAACUGGGACACGGUCCAGACUCCUACGGGAGGCCGCAGUAGGGAAUCUUCCGCAAUGGGCGAAAGCCUGACGGAGCAACGCCGCGGGAGUGAUGAAGGUCUUCGGAUCGUAAAACUCUGUUAUUAGGGAAGAACAAAUGUGUAAGUAACUAUGCACGUCUUGACGGUACCUAAUCAGAAAGCCACGGCUAACUACGUG